GACACGGUCCAGACACCUACGGGUGGCAGCAGUCGAGAAUUUUUCUCAAUGGGGGAAACCCUGAAGGAGCGACGCCGCGUGGGGGAUGAAUGGCUUCGGCCCGUAAACCCCUGUCAUUUGCGAACAAUCCCGUUUGUUUAAUAAACAAACGGUUGCUAGUAGCGAAAGAGGAAGGGACGGCUAACUCUGUGCCAGCAGCCGCGGUAAUACAGAGGUCCCAAGCGUUGUUCGGAUUCACUGGGCGUAAAGGGUGCGUAGGUGGCCAGGUAAGUUUGAUGUGAAAUCUCCGAGCUUAACUCGGAAAGUGCAUUGAAUACUAUCUGGCUCGAGGGUUGGAGGGGAGACUGGAAUUCUCGGUGUAGCAGUGAAAUGCGUAGAUAUCGAGAGGAACACCAGUGGCGAAGGCGAGUCUCUGGACAACACCUGACACUGAGGCACGAAAGCUAGGGGAGCAAACAGGAUUAGAUACCCUGGUAGUCCUAGCUGUAAACGGUGCACAUUUGCUGUAAGAGGAAUCGACCCCUUUUGUGGCGAAGCUAACGCGUUAAAUGUGCCGCCUGGGGAGUACGGUCGCAAGAUUAAAACUCAAAGAAAUUGACGGGGGCCUGCACAAGCGGUGGAGUAUGUGGCUUAAUUCGAUCCAACGCGAAGAACCUUACCUGGCCUUGACAUGUACGUAGUAGAAGGAUGAAAGUCUGACGAGUGUAGCAAUACACAGCGUACACAGGUGCUGCAUGGCUGACGUCAGCUCGUGUCGUGAGAUGUUGGGUUAAGUCCCGCAACGAGCGCAACCCCUGUGUCCAGUUGCCACCCAGACGAGAGUUUGGAGCACUCUGGACAGACUGCCUCGCUUAAACGAGGAGGAAGGUGGGGAUGACGUCAAGUCAGUAUGGCCCUUACGGCCAGGGCUGCACACGUACUACAAUGCCCGGCACAGAGGGAAGCAAGACCGCAAGGUGGAGCAAAUCCCAGAAAACCGGGCCCAGUUCAGAUUGUCGGCUGCAACUCGCCGACAUGAAGCUGGAAUCGCUAGUAAUGGCGCAUCAGCUACGGCGCCGUAAAUACGUUCCCAGGCCUUGUACACACCGCCCGUCACAUCAUGAAAGCCGUUUGUACCCGAAGUCGCCGUGUUAACCGCAAGGAGACAGGCGCCGAAGGUAUGGAUGGUGAUUGGGAUGAAGUCGUAACAAGGUAGCCGUAGGGGAACCUGCGGCUG
rnacentral:rRNA from 1 species